AUACGUAGGUGGCAAGCGUUAUCCGGAUUUACUGGGUGUAAAGGGCGUGUAGGCGGGACUGCAAGUCAGAUGUGAAAACUAUGGGCUCAACCCAUAGCCUGCAUUUGAAACUGUAGUUCUUGAGUGCUGGAGAGGCAAUCGGAAUUCAGUGUGUAGCGGUGAAAUGCGUAGAUAUACGGAGGAAAACCAGUGGCGAAGGCGGAUUGCUGGACAGUAACUGACGCUGAGGCGCGAAAGCGUGGGGAGCAAACAGGAUUAGAUACCCUGGUAGUCCACGCCGUAAACGAUGGAUACUAGGUGUGGGGGGUCUGACCCCCUCCGUGCCGCAGCUAACGCAAUAAGUAUCCCACCUGGGGAGUACGAUCGCAAGGUUGAAACUCAAAGGAAUUGGCGGGG
rnacentral:rRNA from 1 species